rnacentral:rRNA from 1 species
CCGGAGCUAAUACCGGAUAAUAUUUUGAACCGCAUGGUUCAAAAGUGAAAGACGGUCUUGCUGUCACUUAUAGAUGGAUCCGCGCUGCAUUAGCUAGUUGGUAAGGUAACGGCUUACCAAGGCAACGAUGCAUAGCCGACCUGAGAGGGUGAUCGGCCACACUGGAACUGAGACACGGUCCAGACUCCUACGGGAGGCAGCAGUAGGGAAUCUUCCGCAAUGGGCGAAAGCCUGACGGAGCAACGCCGCGUGAGUGAUGAAGGUCUUCGGAUCGUAAAACUCUGUUAUUAGGGAAGAACAUAUGUGUAAGUAACUGUGCACAUCUUGACGGUACCUAAUCAGAAAGCCACGGCUAACUACGUGCCAGCAGCCGCGGUAAUACGUAGGUGGCAAGCGUUAUCCGGAAUUAUUGGGCGUAAAGCGCGCGUAGGCGGUUUUUUAAGUCUGAUGUGAAAGCCCACGGCUCAACCGUGGAGGGUCA